rnacentral:rRNA from 1 species
UACGUAGGGUGCGAGCGUUGUCCGGAUUCACUGGGCGUAAAGGGUGCGUAGGCGGUCGGGUAAGUCUGAUGUGAAAUCUCACAGCUUAACUGUGAAACUGCAUUGGAUACUAUCCGGCUAGAGGAAUGGAGGGGAGACUGGAAUACUUGGUGUAGCAGUGAAAUGCGUAGAUAUCAAGUGGAACACCAGUGGCGAAGGCGAGUCUCUGGACAUUUCCUGACGCUGAGGCACGAAAGCCAGGGGAGCAAACGGG